AACUUCAAAUCGGAAAGGUUUUCUUCUAUCCACGCAGAAUCUGAGUGCCCCACCACGAUUGACAGGGUUCUUAGCGAAUUGGCAAACAUCACUGAAUUGGCAUCAGUAGCAUCAAAAUGAGUAAUACUCUUCGUAAAAAAAGAUAGUUUCAUCCCUAAACUUGCCCAUGUACCGGAUGAAAGCAAACGCUCUAGUAAAGAAAUAGCUUCGGAACACAAACCUUCUGUGAAGGGUUCAGAAAAAAGGCACACA